rnacentral:misc_RNA from 1 species
AAUUCUCAACCUCUCUAGUUUUUUGACUAGUAGAUGGCUUGGAUGUGGGGGUUUUGUGCAGGCUUUCACAAGUCAGCUCCCCUGAAAUGCAUUAGCCGGUACUUUCUGACCGUCUAUUGGUGUGAUAAUUAUCUACGCCGUGGACUAUUGGAUAAGUGUACUGCUUCUAAUCGUCUUUUACUAGACAAUUUACAUGACA